rnacentral:tRNA from 1 species
UAGAGACUAGCUUAAUCGGUAAAGUCCUAGCUUUUUUGGCACUAGUUUAUAAAGGUUCGAAUCCUUUGUCUCUAA